rnacentral:lncRNA from 1 species
GCUGGCUGACCACUCUCAGACCCAGUCACUUGUGCUGCUUUUGCAGGUAGCAAGGAACUAAGUGAGGCAAUUAGCUCUGGUGUCAAGGACACCCCUGAUGAUACUGAUACUUGACGACUGCUACUAGGAUAGUCUCGUGACACUGUUGCUGCCGAGCGAGAUUCAGCAAUUGGUGGAUAAAAUGAUCUUGAAGGAAGCUUUGACUCAUCAUGCAUAACAUCAUUAUAAUCUAAUUGCUCAUCCUUCCGAACCACAGGAUUGUAGCGAGCUUCGUGAGGAAACUGAUCCCUGGCAAAAUCUUGAGUUGGAUGAUGCAACUGUUGCUGCACUUGUACGUUGCUGGGCGGCAGUUGUUGUGGCAACUUAAGAACCACUCCAUACAGACGUUCAGGUCC